ACGAGCCUGAUCUGCUAAAGUUUGCUGUUUGCCCAUUGGUUUGGUUCUUUGUUUUCAGAACUCUCUCUCUCUCUCUCUCGCUCUCUCUACAAACGGAAGAAGAAAAGGGAAUGAGAAAGAUCAUUUUUUUUAGCUAAUAUUGAUGAGAUUGGUAUACCCUUUUGACUAUUUUGGAUAAUGCAGCAAUAGAAUAAGCCUUUUAGCUUUAAUUUAUUAUAUGGAAUGUCAAGAAAUUAGAAACUGAUGGCUCUUUGUGUGAUUUUGAUGGUUUCAUGGUCAUAUAUACUUGAAUUGUGAGUUCAUUAAAUUUUAGUAAAAUGGAUUAGCUGAAAAAGAUUUGUGGGUUUUCCUCUCUUUUUGUGAAAGUAUGCGGUUUUGAUAUUGGGGAUUUGGAGGGUCUAUUCUUAUGGAAAAGUUUGAAUAUUGAUGGUAUAGGGUUGGAGGGUAAUUGGGUUUGUAAUGGAUCGUAGUGAUUCAGAGGAAAAUGAUUCAAUUGUUGAUUUGGAAAGUGGUGAGACUACAAGUGAAGAGGAAGGAGUUAAAAACUUGAAUGUGAGCAGUAUGCGUGCUAAGAAAGGCAGAUUGAGGAAUGGACAUACUGGUUUUGAUAAACCAAUUUGGGAUACUAAUGGGUUCGGUUCAAGUAAAAAUCUGUUACUUUCUGGUGAGAAUUUGGAGAUAUUGGUAGGUGAGGUGGAGGGAAGGGCAGUGAAUAUGGCAGAGAUGAAAAUGGAAAAAGAGAAAAGGAAAAAGAUGAACUCUAAUAAGCCUCCUAAACCACCCCGUCCUCCUAAUGGGCCAUUAUUGGAUGCAGCCGAUAUGAAGUUGGUCAAAGAAAUUUCUGAACUUGCAAGAAUGAGGCGUGCAAGGAUUGAACAAAGGAGGGAGAUGAAGAAGAUGAGAACGGACAAGGCAUCAUCAUCGAAUACUAAUCUUAUUGCACUAGUCAUCACCUUUCUCUUUUGCUUGGUGAUAAUCUUCCAAGGUAUCUUGGGCUCUCGCGUGUGAUGCCUCUAGAAGUGUCUUUCUUCAAAUUGCAUCAAGCAGAUUCUUGUAUAUCUCCUUCUUAGCCCUUUGUCCUUUCCCCCUUAUUAUUGUUUUGGGGUUUGCAUCAUAAGUUUUCGACAGUUACUCUCCACAAAUUUCCAGAGUCAGCAAUACCAUUUGGUGGUGUGAUUCAAGAUGAUUAGUUUUAACUCCCAAGCAUGUGCAAGUGAACCAAUGGAUCUGAGUCUAGGUUUCCCAAGUAUGUUGCUCUCUUUCCAUCAAGUGCUGGUGUAGAAAAUGUCUGUGCACUUAAAGCAUUUUGAAUAAGGAGGUCUUGUGCCAAAUCUUGCACUCACAUAGAGGCUAGAGCAGGUGUUUGCUUCCUGUUUUCUGCGUGUAUAUUUUUGAAGGAUAAGAAUUUUGCAGAUAGUAGGUAACUUAUCCUUGGUGUAUCAGUAUGAGAAAGAUCUUUUUUUUUUUUAGUUCUUAUUGAUGAGAUUGGUGGAAAUGAUCUAAGGCAUCACUGGCAAGUAUGCUAAAUUCUGUACUUCUGCAGAAAAAUUUAAACUUUCGUUCAGCUGUUGUAGAAAAAUCUUAAACUUUGUGCUCUUUUGGGUCC